rnacentral:other from 1 species
AGUUAUUGGCGUAGGGUACAGAGGUAAGAUGUUCUAUCUUUCAGACCUUUUACUUCACGUAAUCGGAUUUAUAGCUGAAUAUUAGCUGCCCCAGUCAGUUUUGACUGGGGCAUUUUUUU